rnacentral:misc_RNA from 1 species
GAUGAAGAACGUAGCGAAAUGCGAUAAGUAAUGCGAAUUGCAGAAUUCAGUGAGUCAUCGAAUCUUUGAACGCACAUUGCGCCCUGUGGUAUUCCGCAGGGCAUGCCUGUUCGAGCGUCAUUUCAACCCUCAAGCUCUGCUUGGUGUUGGGCCCUGCCCGCUGCGGCCGGCCCUAAAGACAGUGGCGGUGCCGCCUGGCCCUGAGCGUAGUACACCUCUCGCUCCAGUGCCCGGUGGUAGCCUGCCAGAACCCCAACUCUCGUGGUUGACCUCGGAUCAGGUAGGGAUACCCGCUGAACUUAAGCAUAUCAAUAAGCGGAGGA